CUUAGGUCGUUCCCAGUCCCCAACCUCCCCUGUUUCUCUCCUGACCUCCCACGCCGACCGCCGCCCCUCGUCAGUUGCCGCCCAUCACCACUCCCCUACGAUCCUCUCUCCCGGCGUGCCGUACCUCACCACUCCCUUUCGACCCUCUGUCCCGGCGCGCCGCCUCUCAACACUCCCCUGCGAACCUCCAUCCAGGCGCGCGCAGUCCCUCCUCUCCAUUCGCCGGCGACCCUGCAUCCCGGCGAGCCAUCCAUCGUCACCGCUCCCCUGCGACCAACGGUGAAUCCAAGGUACGACGUGUCGCCCUUCUUCACCACUCCCCUGUCACCCUGCAUCCCGGCGCGCUGCCCGUCGUCACAGCUCCCCUGUGACCCUGCAUCCCAGCGCGCGCCCCCUCGUCACCGCUCCCCUGCGACGACGGCGAAUCCAAGGUACGGCCAUGAACAUGCUCAGAUUCUCCUUUUGCCCAGCUGUAUAUCGUAUCAUUGAUGGCGAAGACCAGAGAGACCGGGGAUGAGAUUAAUUCUGCUAGGGAUCCAAUCACGAGAUAAUUACUAUGGGAGAUUCUGAUUGUGUGACGUGUUUCUUUGCAACAUAAACGUGACGCAUAGGCAUGUGUUCUCACAAAGCAGGUCUCAAACAACCGGCUUAGCCCUCUUUUCAUCGGAUUAAGUUCGUUUCCAUGUCUAUUUUUGUUUCUUGGUGUUUAAUUUCAUUUACAAUUUGGGCAUACUGAAAAAAGUCCAGAUUACCAGGCAAAAAAAAGAGUUGAGAUUCAUGCUAUUGUAGUUAUGGUUGUUACACUAGAAGAAAAUGAAUUUGAACCUUCACACACUUUGUGAAUUAUCUGACUUUUAUAAACGAGACUCCUAAUCCAUCUAAGCGCUGGCAAAUGUUUUUUAGGUGGCUUAUACAGCGUCAAUGAAUAUGGUGUCAGCAAGAGGUUUAUGGCGCUGUUUGGCAGUAGGUUUUAUUGUUGUUCGUGUUCCUGCUCUUCGAUUCAAACAACCUUCUCGAUUAUUGGAUGACACAAGGAUUGAGUCAUGCUUGCACUUCUGAUGUGGGAUGAUGGUUGUGUGUGUAGCCCUGCCCAAACUCUGGCCCCUCCAAAGUCAGGUGCAGGAGUUCAGGUUCAUUCUUCAUCAGUUUUUAUGCCAAGUAAUCAUAUUUGGAUGAUACUUCCUGAUCAACGGGUGAGUUAUUUGGUGCAUACUAUUAAUGGAUCAGCACUUGGAUGGUUGGAUUGUGAUAUGGACAUAUUAUUGAAUAGGUCCAAUAUAUAAAAAUAGGAGUAAGCAUAAGAGCAUUGCCUACAGGUUUAUAUUCGGUUAGAACAUGCAUACACACCAUUUACGCCAAUUGCUUUCUUCAUGCAAUUAUGCAACUGUUAACAUUUCCCUGAUGUUGCAAUGUUAUAAGGGAAUUUAACUGAAUUUAAUCUGCUUGUCAGAUUUAUGUCAAUAUUGUUUUUUAAAGAUGGAGCUACAUAAUUGUUCGUUGGUGAUCGACCUCAACAAUCUGGCGUUUUGGUGUUUGAUCGAGGUACAAACAGAAUUUUGAUUGUGUAGUUUCAGCAGCCUUACUUAGGACUAUUCUCGUUUCAUCUUCCAUUUGGAGGGACUAUGAUAGCAUUUAUGAAGCUUUUGUAAUUCCUUUACGAGUUCUUUCCUUUUGAUCCAUCGAUAACUUUGAUUUUCUCUAACACGCAUGAACUAAAGUAUUCUUGAAGAGCCUGGAAAAAAAUAACGGAGACAUGUCUCUUGCUACAGUUGUAAGUUGUGUUCUUAAAUUUAAACUUGAUGGUGUUGAACUUACAAAUGAAUUCUGGGAAGUGCAUGUUGAUAUGGCACUUGUGAAGACAUGAUAUUUGGUACGGAGUCGCAAACUGCAAUACUCUCGGUAAUGCAGACAAAACAAAGAUUGCAUGGCCUUCAACCUUUAUUCAAAAGAUAAAUGGAUGAUUAUAUGGGUGCAUGGCAAGUAUACUGCAAUGAUGAUGAUGAUGUUCCUGAUCAUGAUGACGAAGAUGGAUGCUUACAGUUUUAGUUAAGUUGUAGGGAUGAUGUUCUUCGGUUAUGUUUUAGUUAAGUUGUAUGGAUGUGAUAGAUACUUUCAGUUUAACUUUUGAUGUCAGGAAAAUAAUUGGAUUUUGCAUCACAUUUGGAUGAUGUUCCUCCUGUAAUAUCCACUAUUGUAAUCCAACAUUUUUAUCUAAUAUAUGAUUUGUUCCUCCCA